CAAGUAGCGGAGCAUGUGGUUUAAUUCGAAGCAACGCGAAGAACCUUACCUAAGCUUGACAUCCUUCUGACCUCUCCCUAAUCGGAGAUUUCCCUUCGGGGACAGAAGUGACAGGUGGUGCAUGGUUGUCGUCGGCUCGUGUCGUGAGAUGUUGGGUUAAGUCCCGCAACGAGCGCAACCCUUGCCUUUAGUUGCCAGCAUUAAGUUGGGCACUCUAGAGGGACUGCCAGGGAUAACCUGGAGGAAGGUGGGGAUGACGUCAAAUCAUCAUGCCCCUUAUGCUUAGGGCUACACACGUGCUACAAUGGGUGGUACAGAGGGCAGCCAAGUCGUGAGGCGGAGCUAAUCCCUUAAAGCCAUUCUCAGUUCGGAUUGUAGGCUGAAACUCGCCUACAUGAAGCUGGAGUUACUAGUAAUCGCAGAUCAGAAUGCUGCGGUGAAUGCGUUCCCGGGUCUUGUACACACC
rnacentral:rRNA from 1 species